AAAAUACAUAGCCUCAGCAACAGAACAGCUAAUAAUUUUUAAAUAUGAAGGAACAAUUAUGUGACCCAUACAUGUGAACUUGCACAAAAACUUCCAUGCUAAAAGGUAAAAAAAGCAGGCAUCAUCACAUUAUGAGUUUUUUACCCUACUUAUCUUUAGCACUUUUCUGUAUUGCAACCAAGAACCAAAUCCAACUUAAAAAUUACAAACUUUCAACUAGUUCACCAUUCCAAAAGUAUUCAUAUUAAAAAGGAAGGAGGGGGAGGGAGGGAAGGGAGGAGGACAAUACGUCUGGAGAGGCAAUUUUGCACAUUGCAUAAAAUGAUUACCUUUGCAAGUGCAAGACGAAGU
rnacentral:misc_RNA from 1 species